rnacentral:rRNA from 1 species
CCGGCGCACGGGUGAGUAACGCGUAUGCAACUUACCUAUCAGAGGGGGAUAACCCGGCGAAAGUCGGACUAAUACUGCAUGAAGCAGGGAUCCCGCAUGGGAAUAUUUGCUAAAGAUUCAUCGCUGAUAGAUAGGCAUGCGUUCCAUUAGGCAGUUGGCGGGGUAACGGCCCACCAAACCGACGAUGGAUAGGGGUUCUGAGAGGAAGGUCCCCCACAUUGGUACUGAGACACGGACCAA